UGGGGAAUCUUCCGCAAUGGACGAAAGUCUGACGGAGCAACGCCGCGUGAGUGAUGAAGGUCUUCGGAUUGUAAAGCUCUGUUAAUCGGGACGAAAGAGUUCUGUGUAAAUAAUGCAGAAAAGUGACGGUACCGGAAUAGAAAGCCACGGCUAACUACGUGCCAGCAGCCGCGGUAAUACGUAGGUGGCAAGCGUUGUCCGGAAUUAUUGGGCGUAAAGCGCGCGCAGGCGGCCUAUCCAGUCUGUCUUAAAAGUUCGGGGCUCAACCCCGUGAUGGGAUGGAAACUAGUAGGCUAGAGUAUCGGAGAGGAAAGCGGAAUUCCUAGUGUAGCGGUGAAAUGCGUAGAUAUUAGGAAGAACACCAGUGGCGAAGGCGGCUUUCUGGACGAAAACUGACGCUGAGGCGCGAAAGCCAGGGGAGCGAACGGGAUUAGAUACCCCGGUAGUCCUGGCCGUAAACGAUGGGUACUAGGUGUAGGAGGNAUCGACCCCUUCUGUGCCGGAGUUAACGCAAUAANUACCCCGCCUGGGGAGUACGGUCGCAAGGCUG
rnacentral:rRNA from 1 species